AGUGAACGCUGGCGGCGUGCUUAACACAUGCAAGUCGAACGAGAACGGAAUAUAGCUUGCUAUAUUUGUCAGCUAAGUGGCGCACGGGUGAGUAAUGUAUAGAUAACCUGCCCUUAAGAAAGGAAUAACAGUUGGAAACGACUGCUAAUGCCCUAUAUGCCUUUAAUACAUAAGUAUGCAAGGGAAACGCUUUAGUGCUUAAGGAUGGGUCUGUAUGGUAUCAGCUUGUUGGUGAGGUAAUGGCUCACCAAGGCUAUGACGCCUAACUGGUUUGAGAGGAUGAUCAGUCACACUGGAACUGAGACACGGUCCAGACUCCUACGGGAGGCAGCAGUGGGGAAUAUUGCACAAUGGACGAAAGUCUGAUGCAGCAACGCCGCGUGGAGGAUGACACAUUUCGGUGCGUAAACUCCUUUUAUAUAGGAAGAUAAUGACGGUACCCGGAGAAGAAGCCCCGGCUAACUUCGUGCCAGCCGCCGCAGUAA
rnacentral:rRNA from 1 species